UACGGAAGGGAGCAGUGGGGAAUAUUGCACAAUGGGCGCAAGCCUGAUGCAGCCAUGCCGCGUGUAUGAAGAAGGCCUUCGGGUUGUAAAGUACUUUCAGUCGUGAGGAAGGUGUUAAGGUUAAUAACCUUAGCAAUUGACGUUAGCGACAGAAGAAGCACCGGCUAACUCCGUGCCAGCAGCCGCGGUAAUACGGAGGGUGCGAGCGUUAAUCGGAAUUACUGGGCGUAAAGGGCACGCAGGCGGUUAAUUAAGUUGGAUGUGAAAUCCCCGGGCUUAACCUGGGAAUGGCAUUCAAGACUGGUUAGCUAGAGUCUUGUAGAGGGGGUAGAAUUCCAUGUGUAGCGGUGAAAUGCGUAGAGAUGUGGAGGAAUACCGGUGGCGAAGGCGGCCCCUGGCAAAGACUGACGCUCAUGUGCGAAAGCGUGGGGAGCAAACAGGGAUUAGAUACC
rnacentral:rRNA from 1 species